UUUAAUUCAAUUCUUUGAAUAAAAUAACUUUUAACUGAAGCUCUUAUCUCCACGUGGACCUAAGGCGGCCGAGGCCGGGAGAUUAAUAUAACAGAUCAAAUUUGGGGAAAAUGAAUCCAAUCCGAUCCAAACCAAAUGAACGCAAAUUGAAGGGAGGUGUAUGCUGGUGGCUAGGUAAGGGAGCAGUGGGCACUGUCUGGAGAGGUGAGGUUCAGGGGCGGGUGAUAAAUGGCUGAGAUAGAGAAGGAGAAGGGCUGGAAUAGUUGUAAGAAUACUAAGAAAGGAGGAGGAGGAGGAGGAGGAGGAGAGCAAGGGUUUUGCAAUGACUACGUGUACAGGAUCAGUACCGCGGAGGAGUGGGCGGAACUGCAGACAAGUGGUUCUACUUUGGGCCGACAAAUUGAUAAAUCAACCGGCUGUAUUCAUCUCAGCAACCUCCACCAGGUUCAGUGGGUUUUACACAACUUUUUCCUGAACUCUAAGGGACAAGACUUGUACCUGCUCCAAAUCGAUGCUAAAAAGCUUGGUGAUGGUUUGGUUUAUGAAGCCGCUGCGGACGACUCCUCCAAGGUCUUCCCUCAUUUCUACGGUCCAUCUCGAAGUUUUGGUCCUCUUCCUCUGGAUGUUGUUACUAAAGCGGAGAAGAUAAUUCUAUCAGGGACAAUGCUACAGUACCUAUAGUUAUGGUAACGAUGUUAAGGAAACCUACUAUUACAGGUUUCUAUUACCUUUAGUGACUAAUCAAAUUUUUUAGCGACUUUUUAAAUAUUAUAUUAAAAUAAUUAAUAUUAACUUUAGUAAGUUUUUAAUUAAAACUAGUAAGUAUAUGCCUGAAAGAUAAGUUUUAGUCAAAAAUCAAAAUUUACCCUUUCAAUAAUUUAAUUUACUUAUUAUUUGACAAAUGUUACUUGUGUUUAAUUUAAACUUACUAAUACUAAAAGUAAAAAAUUUACAUAUUAAAGUAAAAAAAUAAUCGGUUUCUGAAAACGGUUUGGGUUUCCACCUCUCUAAAGUUGCUUCCCUUCUUUUUAUUUUCUUCUCACCUCACGGAAGAUUGUAGAAAAUUUUUCUUGGAAAAGGAAGGAGUACAAUCAUCAUCUUAUGGAACGGGAUUAGCUUUAGCUAAAAUUUAGAAAACUGAUCAAGCGGGCUAAGCAAUUCUAUCAUAUCUUCAGGCUAAACUCUUCUGGUAGGUUUCAUGCCUCAGUCUCUUUUUCUACCUUUUACUAAGCAUUGAUUCUCAUUUCGGUCAAUCAAUUGGCCUGCCUAGGCGCGGAGGAAAAGCUAAAUAUGCUUUAUAGAUAGCACAGGUUCAGGAGAAAGGGUUUCCCCCCCUAUCAAACACAACAAAAGGGUUAGCAACUGUGGUAGCCAAUCAAAGAACAUAUGAAAAAUAGCAGUGACGAGGACUGGAUAGCUCAACGGGAUGGAAUAAGUGAAAGGAAGCAGGGAAGAUUAGCAUUAAUCAUGAAAUUCCAUAUGGAUGGUUCUAGUCAAACAUGGGGUGCAUCGGACACAGUCUCUCUUUUGGUCUUAGUUGUUAUAGGUGUUUUCUGAUUGCGCUACUACUUUUGUAGUUGUGACCCUGUCACAUUUUGUUCAGCUUAGUCAGGGACUAUUAUGCAGUAGUUGUUCUAAUGCUUAACCAUGAUAAAACCUCAGUAGUUUUAUAUAAGCAGCUACUUACUACAUGCUACAUUUUGCUGUAAAGUACUAUGGAGGAUGCCCUUACCACAUUAAUAGCGGUGUAACAUCCAUUCUAUCGUAGGAGCACGUACUCUUAU